rnacentral:rRNA from 1 species
UACGGAGGGGGCUAGCGUUGUUCGGAAUUACUGGGCGUAAAGGGCGCGUAGGCGGCACUGUUAGUCAGGCGUGAAAUUCCUGGGCUCAACCUGGGGACUGCGCUUGAUACGGCAGAGCUAGAGGAUGGAAGAGGCUCGCGGAAUUCCCAGUGUAGAGGUGAAAUUCGUAGAUAUUGGGAAGAACACCGGUGGCGAAGGCGGCGAGCUGGUCCAUUACUGACGCUGAGGCGCGACAGCGUGGGGAGCAAACAGG